UACGUAGGGGGCAAGCGUUGUCCGGAAUUAUUGGGCGUAAAGAGCUCGUAGGCGGUUUGUCGCGUCUGGUGUGAAAAUCCAGGGCUUAACCCUGGACCUGCAUCGGGUACGGGCAGACUAGGGUGCGGUAGGGGAGAUCGGAAUUCCUGGUGUAGCGGUGAAAUGCGCAGAUAUCAGGAAGAACACCCGUGGCGAAGGCGGCUCUCUGGGACGGUACUGACGCUGAGACGCGAAAGCGUGGGGAGCGAACAGG
rnacentral:rRNA from 1 species